rnacentral:rRNA from 1 species
UACGGGGGGAGCAAGCGUUGUUCGGAUUUACUGGGCGUAAAGGGCGCGUAGGCGGCCACCGCAAGUCGGUUGUGAAAUCUCCGGGCUUAACCCGGAAAGGUCAAUCGAUACUGCGGGGCUAGAGUGCAGAAGGGGCAACUGGAAUUCUUGGUGUAGCGGUGAAAUGCGUAGAUAUCAAGAGGAACACCUGCGGCGAAGGCGGGUUGCUGGGCUGACACUGACGCUGAAGCGCGAAAGCUAGGGGAGCGAACGGG